UCCUGAAACAUGUCAAUGGUCUGAUGCAUGGCCUUGACAGCAGUGCUUGGCCACACACUCAGUUACCAGGGACCUAUUCUGUCACAUCUCAUGGAAAAGAGAGCAGAAACACCCCUCCUUAAAUCCAUAAUCAUUGACAUGUCCAAUGUACAGUGAAGAACUACCAUGCUAUUGUUUGAGGAACAAAAAACACAACUGGGUUGAUACAUUCACCUCUGAAGGAACUGGGGUCUACAGUUUGACCCCACUGCUGUCUCUGGCUCCAAACCCACCCCGCCCGGCCAUCAAGAUGUGUGAAAGUUAGUGUAUCAGCUAAUGAUCCAUCGUGUAUGAUAUUUCUGGGAGUGUGUAAACUAAAAGAAAUAUUACCAUAGCAUUUUUGUAUGUUCUCUAUGGUAAUGUACUUGUAAAUGUAUCAAUUGACCAAUUCGGCACAUUUGGGCAAACUCCUGGCAGACUUGAUACAAAAUAUUGUGCAAUCUAAUUCCUAUCUAAAUUACACCUAGACUCCUAUCUGAAAGUAUGACCUUACUCUUGCAUUUCAAAGAUGAAGGGGGAAAAAAGAUACAAACAUGCAUCUUUUACCAGAUCUAAUGUGUUACUCUCCAACAUUAAUUUCAGAUUUCCACAAACAGUGUUCAGUGUUUUCUUUCAAAUGGUGUCAAUAAUAUGCAUAUCCUUGCUUCAGGUCUUGAGUUACAGGCAGUUCGAUUUGGGUAUGUCAUUAUAGGGGGAAAAAGGGGUAUGAUCCAUACACAUAGUGCUUGCAAUAUAUUCUGUUAGUGCUCAUAGCCCCUGGAAAGUUGUUGCACAACACUUGAUUAAGUGAUGUUACAACACCAUGUUAUGUUUCAAAACAUCUCAGGAUGAUUUGUUUCAAAACUCCAGAAAAGUUAAGAAUUUGUCUCCUUUUAGUUGGUGGCAGCUCAGUUGCCACUCUCUUUGGUGAUAUAGAGCACUUCAUUUUAAGUGUACAGCUUGAAUUAAAAAUAGUUUCAAUUGGUCACUGGCCUGCCUAUACACAAUAGCCCAU